UGCUUCUGUUUCUUAAGUAAAAUGGGAAGGAAAGGGAUUCCUAUCUUAACAGUUAGUGGGAUAAUUAAAUGAGGUAAUCCAUGCAAAGCAUUUAAAACAUGCUGGUACAUAGCUUUCAAUAAAUUAGUUUUUUCCUACAUUUAAGGUAAUUUUCUGUACAUAAUUAGGUAAAUGACCUAGGGUGGGGGUAGAGUUAAGUAGAAAGGCCCCUUCAUGAGGCCCCGGAGUGUAUGGAGUUAGCAAGUCAAUGUGGAAAGAGCAGCCAGUGUGUGCUCUGAAAUGAGCUCUGCCGCUCAUGCUGUGGUCUCAGGCAUCCUUUUCCUGCCUCCUGCCCCUUACUUUGUUUAUCUGUAAAAUCGGACUGCUAAAUGCGUAGCGUUGGAAUUAAAAGAUCAAGGGAGGUGAGUGUGCCUUAGCCUGGGCCCUAGGACAGUGGAGGCGUCCCAUCCAUCCACUGCUCCCAUUUCCUCCCAUGCGUCUGAGCACACUUGUGCUUGGGAAGGCAGGGUGGUGGCAAGAAUUCUCCAUGAACAUAAUACUCACCUUCUCUAGGUUGCCAAGACUUCGGCAUGGUCUCUCCUCAUGCUUGCCCCCGUGGGUAGUUUCUGGCCUUUCACUAGUACAGAUUGAUUAAACAUUCUCCUGUGUGGAUUCUUCCUGGUUGGUGCUGGUUAUCUCCUUAGGAGAAAUUCUUACAAAAGGCAUGUCUCCUGGGUCAAGGAUGUGCAAAAAUUUAAAGCUUUUGUUGGUAUAUGCUGUGUCAAAAAGCAGCUUAUUAUAAUUGUUCAAAGCAUGGAUUCUGGACCUAGGCUGCGUGCAAACCUUUGCUGCUUGUUAGCCAGGGAGACAGAUGAGGAUUAAUUAUUAACUUGGUUAAUAUUUGUUCAUUAGAACAAGUGCUUGACACAUACAAAGAGUCAUACAUAUGUUGUGUUUAAUAAUAAAAAAAAAAUACUGUCUUAAUGCUCUGAAAUGGUCUGUGACAGUGGACAGUCCCCUUAGCAUCAGCUGUCGGGGCAUGGCUGAGAUGGCUAAUUAAUAGUAGGACACUGGCCUUAGUGCUAUUAGGUCAUGGGUCACCAUUACCCGCUGCCAUAUCUGGUCCUAACUCUUAGCUGCCCCAUUAUUUAGAUUUGGGGUCUUUUGUCUUCUAAGUAGUUGGCAUAAUAUGUACCUAUCACAGUCUGGUUUUCUCAGUUUUUUGGGAGAACAAAAUGGACUCUGGGCAAAACCCAUCCAAGUGCAUCUCCAGACAUUCUGGCUUCUUCACUGGGGGUGCUGGCCCAGCCCGUGUAGGAACGGAGAUCCUCCCACACUGCCUGGCCUUGCCUCUAACUGUGUCUCGUCUCUUUGCUAGCAAGUCUGCAUGGCUUUGACAUGUUUCUGGAUGACAGGUGCUCCAUCCACACUGAAAUUCCCAGUGAUAGUUGGCCGUCUCGAGCUGUAACCUUUCUAGACCGGCUUUUAAUCUGGCUUGGGAUCCGCAAAGACUAGGCCUCCCAAGAAGAUCUCUCCUGGACAGCACAAUGCUCACCAACAGAAAGUCUCUCCAGGUGCAAUUUAAGCCUGUUUCCUCAAGCGUGUGCCUCAGCCUCAGCAAGUGUGUCUUCUAUCCACUGGGUAUUGAGGGUUCAGCCUGAGGCUAGAGCUGGGCCUACCAGUAGGUGGCCUGGAGGAGUGACUGGGAUGGCUCCUCUCUGGUGGCAGAUCCCCAGUAAGUAGCGUUCCUUGCUUUCUUACAUUAGGGGCCCCUGUGACUGACUUGGUGGAAGCUGGUCUGUGUCCCCAGAAAAGUUAAUGCAAAACUCUUGAAGAGUUCAUGGGCAGGCCCUCUGUGGCCUCCCCGGCUGUGCAGCAUUCAACUCCAGGGGCGCUGCUCAUACAGAUGCAGUGAGAAGGGCGCCCCCUCAGGUGUCCUGCUUCAGAGCCCGUUCACCAGUCAUUCCAAGGCCCUGCUCUGGGCAUCUACAGAUCCUUGGUUAAAAUCCCUGAGCGCUGUCUUUCUGCUCUGGUCACAGGUUCCUGGGCUGGGAUGCAGUCAGGGUAGGGAUCCCCACUUCUCGUGUUAGGCUAUGCAGCCUCCACAUUUCUCUUGCUUCCUUUCUACCCACCUUGCUUUUUCCCUCUUACUGAAAACUCUUCCAGCCACCGUGCUUGCUCUCCCCUCAUUUUCCCUCACCGCCAAACACGCAGGUGGUGGUCAUUUUGCAUGGCUGAGAAUGUAGGACUUACUUUGAUACUUGAGUUUUCCUCCCUGUUGCUCGGAUGCUCCCAGUAUCUAGACAGGUGAAAUGCAGGCCAGGGCCACUAACAUGGCCGUGCGGGUGUAUCCAUGUGGGUGAGCUCCCCUGGGUUGAGCAGUGCACCCAUGAGGUGGAGGUGUUCUCAGUGCCCCUGGUGGGGUGGCUGUUCUCAAGGAAAGUUCUCUCUACCCUCAUUGAGCCCUGGAGACUGAUGUGCGCCUUGACACCACUCCAUUCUCACCUGACAGGCAUUCCCACUUACAGAUGACUCUGUGCUCUGAAAUCAGGCCACAUUUCUGCAAAGUAACAAUGCUUAGAAGGCAUUGUGGCUUGGUUGGGGAAAUUCCAUCACCUUGAGUCACAAGCAGCGUUGUGGCUGAGGAAAAGGCUUUCCAGAGCAUUCGGGAGACAGGCAGGGAGCAGCUUGGGCCUAGGAGAGGCAUAAGCAGCUGCUGGACCCUGUAGGCUCCAUGAAGCCCCCGGGAGAGCCAAACUUCUGUUCAUUUCCACCAGUGCCUCACUGGUGACCUUGAACCUAAUCUCGUGGCCUCUCAAGUCAUGCCAUCUCCACCUGUGCAGGAGAUCUAAUAAUAAAGCUAAGAACACUUUUUUUUAAUGUUUAUUUUGAGAGAGUGAGCGGGGGAGGGGCAGAGAGAGAAAGAGAAUCCGAAGCAGGCUUCAGGCUCAGAGCGGUCAGCACGGAGUCCGACGCGGGGCUCAAACCCACAAACUGUGAGAUCAUGCCCUAAGCCGAAGUCCGAGGCUUAACCGACUGAGCCACCUAGGUGCCCCUCUAAGAACACUUGUAAUCCCAUCGUGUUUUCAGGAGAAUGUGUUCAAGAGGGACUCAUGCCACUGCUGUGUGUGGUCACCAUGUUACUUGCCCCUGAGCACACAGCAGGUACUCAUUGUGGCUUCCUUCAUCCCCUGCAGAGGAACCUGUGUCCUCUGGCCUUUGCCCCUCUCCUAGCAGCUUUACCCUGGGGACUAGUAAUCGAAGUGGUAAUUUUGGGAGUGUGGAAGGAACACUGGGCUAGAGGGCUGGAUCUUGUUUCUGCCUUAUCUCCUCAUCAGGCGCCAGCUAGGGACUAAGAGGACCAAGAAGACUGUCCUUCCCGUUCCCUGACUGGAAAGCAUGAGACAGUUGCAAGACCGCACACAGCAGCCACUCCACCACUGCUCGUCUCCUCACGCUGCUAGUUUCUGCACCAAGGGUGGGAGGGCGAGCCUGCAGAUGUAGAAGACAUCCAAAUGAAGGGCAAAGCCUUAAUGUUAGGGAUGACCCUUGGGACUAAGGACAGUGGUUCCUUUCAGGGGAGGGGGAGGCUGUGGUUGGCAUGGGCACUGGACAGGCUUCUGGGAAAAUCAGUUUCUUAGGUGGUGUUACAAGGAAAUUUGCAUUUGUAUCCAUAUUGUUUUACGAUAUAUAUUUUUUCUAAGACUUUUUUUUUUAAGUAAUCCUACACUGAACAUGGUCAUCGAAUUCACAACCCCGAGAUCAAGAUUCGCAUGCUUUACCGACUGAGUCAGUUGGGUGCCCCUACAAUAAAGAAGUUUUUAAAA